rnacentral:rRNA from 1 species
AUAGUGGGGGAGUAGCCUUUCGAAAGGAAGAUUAAUACCGCAUAAGAUUGUAGUAUCGCAUGAUAUAGCAAUUAAAGGAGCAAUCCGCUAUAAGAUGGACCCGCGUCGCAUUAGCUAGUUGGUGAGGUAAUGGCUCACCAAGGCGACGAUGCGUAGCCGACCUGAGAGGGUGAUCGGCCACAUUGGGACUGAGACACGGCCCAGACUCCUACGGGAGGCAGCAUG